GGGAUCAUGGCGCCACCGGGGCUGACGAGCAAAACGACACCGUUCCGUUCCAAAUGGUUUCUUCAUCACGGGGAGAACAACGCAUAAAUUCCUGAAUCGGUUCUUUCGUCAGCGGUCACUGCAUCUGCCAGUCUCCGUUCCUCGAUUCAUUUCUCAUCCCUAUAUACUUCCACCAUCUUAUCAUUGUAGGUCGCUGAUCUUCUGAAUAAAAAUUCCCAUCAUGUUUCUUUGAUAAGGUGUGUUUUUUUUUCAACCGGUGGUUACAAGGAGGGAGCGUAUUUUGGGCCACCGGCCACUCAGGGGUUUGCUUUUUCGAUGGCUUAUUAUGGAGACGAUGGUGGGAGGGCCGAGGUGAUCCCGGAGCUUCCGCUCAGAAUUUGCAGUGACGACAACAAUGGGGAUUACGUAAAAUUGAGGCACGGUCCGGAAAAUGCUGAACCGGCAACCGCCGUAGGUGAGGCGGCGGAGGUUUCACCAACAGGAAGAGUAGGGUCUUUAUGGUAUUGGGUUAAAUUGUUGAUCUUGGCUGUGUGUAUAGGGCUCUUGGUUGCUGUAUUUCUCAAGUGGGUCGGACCCUUUUUCAUGGAUAAGGAGAUUAUUCCAAUACUGAUUUGGGAGAGAACCACGUUCAGUGUUCCAGUGUUAACUGUUCUGCUAUUUGCUUCCAUAGCAUUAUUUCCAACACUAUUUUUACCGUCUACACCUUCUAUGUGGGUGGCUGGGAUGACAUUUGGUUAUGGCCUUGGGUUCUUGCUAAUAAUAUCUGCGGCAUCUGUGGGUGUCUCUCUCCCUUUUUUCAUUGGUUCAAUCUUCCAUCAAAAACUUCAAGGUUGGUUAGAAAGGUAUCCUAAGAAAGCCUCAUUAUUAAGAUCUGCAGGUGAAGGAAAUUGGUUGCAUCAAUUUCGUGCUGUUGCUUUAAUCAGAAUUUCUCCAUUCCCUUACAUAAUCUACAAUUACUGUGCUGUGGCAACAAAUGUUAAGUAUGGACCUUACAUAAUGGGAUCAUUGGUGGGAAUGGUGCCAGAAAUAUUUGUUGCAAUCUACACGGGGAUUCUGAUAAUGACUUUAGCUGAUGCUUCACAUGAAAAACACACUCUAUCUGCCCCUCAAAUUAUCUUUAACGUUAUGGGUUUCUGCUUUACUGUGGCUACAACAAUCUUCUUCACGUUUUAUGCUAAAAAGUGGUUGAAAGAGUUGGGAAGGGAAGACGAAGUUUUAUUGCAAUAAUCCAGUAAUUUUUGGCUUGGUUUCCUCGACUUUCACUGCAUGAGCUAGACACCAGGUCAUAUUGGCAGGUGGUGCACAGUUGGACCUUGCGCUUCACAAUCAAAGCUUUUGUGUUGAGGCGACGCUGGAAGCAGGAUAGAAGAUUCUGAAAAAGCCAUAAUGAUCUCCACAUUGUUCUUAUCCUACUGUGGCGAUGCCACGUCAGAGAGCCUUGUUGGUGUUUUUUUUUUCCCUCCCCUUUUCAUGAGAGAGAUGAAAGAGGGUAAAAAUUAGUACUAUAAUGUAAAGUUUCAGCAUAGUUUAUAAGGACAAUAGAGUAUCAAAAAUUACUCAUAUUUUAUAACAGAUUUAAUAUUUUUAAUUGUUUUU